CUUCCAUCUGCUCAGAGCUCAGAGCUCAGAGCUCAGUCUCCAAAGUCUGAGCACUUCUCUUUCUCUCUCUCUCUCUCUCCAACAUUCUUUCAGAAUCCAAGUGACGCCCUUGCCUCUCUCUCAUCAAUAGUGGUAAGCCUCCACCCAUCGUGGCUUUGAUUUGAUCUUACUAAGUUUUAGGUUUGGUUUUUCAUGGCUGUUUCAUGUCAAAGUUGUUACCUUUGGGUCUUGUGCAUGCUUUCUAGCAUCCAUUUUAGUGGUGUUUGUGGCUUGAAUGAGGAGGGACAUGCCCUUCUCUCAUUCAAGGCAUCCAUCACUAAGGAUCCAGAUGGAUUCUUGGCCAACUGGAACUCCUCCAACAAUGACCCAUGCUCUUGGAAUGGCAUCACUUGCAAAGACUCUACUGUAGUCUCAAUUAGCAUCCCCAAGAAGAGACUUUUGGGUUCUCUGUCCCCAGAUCUUGGCUCACUGGCAUCCAUCAGACACAUUAACCUUAGGAAUAACAAGCUUCUUGGGAGCUUGCCUGCAAAGCUCUUUCGUGCCCAGGGGCUCCAAAGUUUGGUUCUUUAUGGCAAUUCGCUUUCCGGCAGUUUACCGACUGAGAUUUGUGACCCAUCUAACCUUCAAAUCCUUGAUUUAUCCUGGAACUUGUUCAGUAAUUCAGUACCUCCGUCUUUAGUUCAGUGCAAGAUGUUGAAGUCCCUGGAUUUGAGCCACAAUAACUUCACAAACUCAUUGCCUGUUGGUUUUGGCAACAGUUUGAGUGCAUUGGAAAGACUUGAUCUUUCUUAUAAUAUGUUGAAUGGCUCUAUUCCAAGUGAUAUCGGAAAUAUGACAAAGCUUGCGGGGACAGUGGAUUUCUCGCACAAUUUGUUCUCUGGUUUGAUACCACCAAGCAUUGGGGACCUCCCAGAGAUGGUGUACAUUGAUCUAGCUUACAAUAAUCUUAGUGGUCCAAUACCUCGUAACGGGACUAUGGUGAACAGAGGGCCAAAUGCAUUUGCUGGGAACCCACUUCUUUGUGGACCACCAUUGAAGAAGUCAUGUUCUGAAGGCGUGCCUGUGAAUGCUGGUGAUAACAGAAGUGGCAAAAGGGUAAGCAUGAGAAAAUGUGUCAUAGUUGUAAUUGUAGUGAGUGACAUACUUGGUAUAGCUCUUAUUGCAUUGGUGUUCUUCUACUGUUACCGCAAGAUGAUAUCUCCAAAGACAAAGCUAACAAAUGAGAACAAAGGUAAGGCUUUUAGGGAGAAGGAAUGCUUGCGUUUUACAAAUGAUGAAUCCAAGAACCCAUCAGAAAAUAUGGCACAAUCUGAUCUUGUACCAUUGGACCCAAAUGUGAAGUUCAAUUUGGAUGAACUCCUGAAAGCCUCUGCAAUUGUUUUGGGGAAGAAUGAGAUCGGAAUUGUUUAUAAGGUUACCCUUGCGAGUGGGCUCAUCUUGGCCGUGAGGAGGUUAGGGGAAGGAGGAGCACGGAGGUUCAAAGAAUACAAGCAAGAUGUGGAAGCUAUUGGAAAAGUCAGGCAUCCCAAUAUAGUCACUCUAAGAGCAUAUUACUGGUCAAUUGAGGAGAAACUUCUAAUAUAUGAUUAUAUUCCUAAUGGUAACCUCUCUACCGCAAUCCAUGGUAGGGCAGGAGCAAACUCUUUCUCACCAUUGCCAUGGGCCUUCCGACUAAAAGUCAUGAAAGGCAUUGCCCGAGGCUUGUGUUUUCUGCAUGAGUUCAGUCCCAAGAAGUAUGUGCACGGAGAUCUCAAACUUAGUAAUGUUCUUCUUGGACCUAACAUGGAACCGUACAUAUCUGAUUUCGGUCUCGCACACCUUGCUAACAUAGUGGGAGAACCUCCAAUGCCACAUUCAGAUAAAAUGGCUGCUGAAAAUCCACAAAGCCAGCACACUGCAGUUAGUCCUGACACAAGGAUUGAAUUGUGUUAUCAAGCCCCAGAGGCAUUGAAAACUCAAAAACCAUCACAGAAGUGGGAUGUUUAUUCAUAUGGGGUGAUUUUACUAGAACUGCUUUCAGGGAGAUCUCCUUCUGUACUAUUGGAGACAUCUGACAUAGGUUUAGUUCAAUGGAUUCAAGUUUGUAUCGAAGAGAAGAAGGCUCUUACUGAUGUCCUAGACCCGGCUUUGACUCAUGAACCAGAGAGAGAAGACGAGAUCGUUGCUGUUCUUAAGAUAGCUUUAUCUUGUGUUCAGUAUAUUCCUGAAACGAGGCCAUCAAUGCGACAUGUUAUGGACUCUCUGGACAGAGUAUUCACAGGAAGAUAAGCACCAUUGAAGCUCAGUUCAUCAACAAAAUUAGAUAAGAACACCUGCAUGGUUUGUUUCACUUAAAGCAUUGUGUUUGUCUCAUGUCUGAACUGGUUCUCUUGGCAGAUAAAACAGUAAGCAUUCUGAAGCUCAUCAACAGCAUAGGCAAGAUCUCAUCCUUCUUGAAAGACUAUCACAAUAGCCCUUCAGAUCACUCCUACAAGGUAGAGAUACUAUUGCUGUUUGAAAACUAAAAGAGAGUGUUGAGAGGGUAAUUGAUAAGGCAAAAGGCAAAACACUUAGAGGACCACAAAGAGAACACUUUGAGACCGUCUUGAACUUUUCCUUUGUAAUGUUUUUUU